CACCACUCAAGCCUCGCUUGGUAUUGGGCCCCGGGGGCGACCCGGGCCUCAAAGUGGCCGGCUGGAAAGCUCUGAUCUCAGCGUCGUGGUUUCAUCAAACUCGCUGGCGAGAAGGGCCCUCCGUGCCGUUAAACUCCAUUCAA
rnacentral:misc_RNA from 1 species